GUGGGACAGUGUGUCCCUGUCAUUAAUGAAACCAAUGUGCAGGCCGCAUGGUGGACAUUCCAGCCAGCUGAUACUAAUGCACGUAUGCUGGACAGCCUGAUGAGGACCUGGACUGACAUCCCAACUCUUCUCAUCAUCUGCCUGAUCCUCUGUAUUGUCCUCACCACUCUCAAACUCUACAGUAGUCUCUUGACCCUGGUGAGAAAGGUGACUUCUCCUUAUGACCAUCUCCUCAGCCAGCCAUCAACUCCACACAUAGGUUCCUGACCUGAUCUCUGCUGAGUAAGUGUGCAUCUGCUGGAUUUAAGGCCUAAGACUUAAGACUUUAAAUCUAGCACUUAAUCUUAGCAUGGAGAGGGAAUGUCUGUCUGUAAGGGGUCUGUCAUGAUUAAGAGUGUUUGCAGUCCUUAGAGUUAACUUAGAAUGUGUUUUUGCUCUAAAUUAGCUGUGCUUAUUGCUUUUAUCAUCCUAAAUUAUUGUAUUUGUAGUGCCUAGC
rnacentral:lncRNA from 1 species